UACGUAGGGUCGAGAGCGUUGUCCGGAAUUACUGGGCGUAAAGAGCUCGUAGGUGGUUUGUCGCGUUGUUCGUGAAAACUCACAGCUUAACUGUGGGCGUGCGGGCGAUACGGGCAGACUUGAGUACUGCAGGGGAGACUGGAAUUCCUGGUGUAGCGGUGGAAUGCGCAGAUAUCAGGAGGAACACCGGUGGCGAAGGCGGGUCUCUGGGCAGUAACUGACGCUGAGGAGCGAAAGCGUGGGGAGCGAACAGG
rnacentral:rRNA from 1 species